rnacentral:rRNA from 1 species
UAAAACGACUCUCGGCAACGGAUAUCUCGGCUCUCGCAUCGAUGAAGAACGUAGCGAAAUGCGAUACUUGGUGUGAAUUGCAGAAUCCCGUGAACCAUCGAGUCUUUGAACGCAAGUUGCGCCCCACGCCUUCUGGCCGAGGGCACGUCUGCCUGGGUGU